GUAAACAACUUAAGCGCUGCUACCAAAGUUUCUUUUUUCAUGAAAAUUUAUUGCAUGUAAAUGACAUUAACCUAACAAUUAGUAUGCCCAAAAUCUGAACAUCAAUUUUCAAAAGUGAAACAUAACUACUUAAUUAAACAUUUCUAUCAAUUAUUACAGUACAAAGUCAUCUCAGUAAAUAGGAUUCAAGAAUCUUUUCCGCCAAAACUUGAUAGUGUUUCAAAAUAUCCUCUAUAUCAGACAUUGGUCAUUAAUUUCCUCGGCAC
rnacentral:lncRNA from 1 species